AAGCCCGAAGUAAAAUAGGAAAACAAUUUUUGUUCAUUUCUUUUCAAGACUCCUUCGGUAAUUAGGGUUUCACGAACCGUAUCUACAAAUUAAAACCACACAACAUCAUUCAAUUAGUUAGGUCUGAUUUAGCUCGAAAUUCAAACAAAUUGCGAUCCAGUCUGAAUCGGCAGCAGCGACGACCAGCAAUCCAGACUGAAUCGGCGGCAGCGACGACCAGCGAGCUGCGAUCCACACUGAAUCGGCGGCAGCGAGGAUGUCCUCUAUAUCAUCAACUUGAUUGAUCAUCGAUUUUAGUUUCAGAUAACAAAAAAGAUGACUCUAGCUAUUGCAAUUGAAGAUGUGAGAAGGGAGGUUAAGAUAUUAAGAGCGUUAACUGGACACAACAAUUUGGUACAGUUUUAUGAUGCAUAUGAAGAUCAUGAUAAUCUGUACAUAGUUAUGGAGUUAUGUGAAGGAGAAAUUAUAACAGACAGUGAAGGAUUAUUUGAAGUUUAGGAAAAUCUAAACAUAUUCCACCAAAGUUUAAACCUAGGUGAUUUCUUGAUGCAUUGUCAUGCAAUUUAUAUCUACCUCGCCUUUGUAUUUGGAGUUGCAGAUCACUGGUAUCGAAGUGAUCUUCAACCACAUUGGAACGCAUUGAAAUGAAGCACUGUUUACAAAUACAAACUGAUUGCAGGCCUCCAUUUUCACAUCAGAAACAAUAUAAGGCCUAGUAAGUAAAAACCAACUUAAUCAGGAAAGCCCAAAGAUAAAUUGUCGUUUUUGGAAUUUUGAGUCGUUUGUUUAUGAUUUGAAGAAAUCGUAGGAGCUUCGCCCCCAAAACUCAAAUUCGAUUUCUAUAAUCAAAAAGUUAAAGACACAAAACCCAGAACCCCAGUUCACUCUUCAUUACUUACUCUAAU